GACAGAGGUGCCAAGCGUUAGGCGGAAUCACUGGGCUUAAAGCGUGUGUAGGCGGAUCGUUAAGUACCUUGUGAAAUCCCACGGCUUAACCGUGGAACGGCUGGGUAUACUGGCGAUCUUGAGCCACCUAGGGGCGAGCGGAACAAAUGGUGGAGCGGUGAAAUGCGUAGAUAUCAUUUGGAACGCCACGGUGAAAACAGCUCGCUGGGGGUGUGCUGACGCUGAGACACGAAAGCCAGGGGAGCGAACGGG
rnacentral:rRNA from 1 species